CGACUUAGCUUAGUUGGUAGAGCAACUCAUUCGUAAUGAGUAGGUCGUAGGUUCAACUCCUAUAGUCGGC
rnacentral:tRNA from 1 species